rnacentral:tRNA from 1 species
GGCAGCAUGGUGUAGUGGUUUCAGCAUUGGACUAUGAUUCUGGAGAACAGGGUUCAAAUCCUGGCUCAGCCA